GUUCCGGACGCCACCAGUACACACGACGACGUGGAGUCUGAGACUGCACCCUCGGCAUCGCCACAUCGCAAAUGCGGAACAGGGCGGCACCGAGUCGGUCAGCCUCUCGGUCGACCUGGACGACCGGGUCGGAACCGGCACACCAGGCCUCCACGAUGGCCGCCUCCUUUGCCAACUGGCUGUCGAGGCGGCCCAGACUCCACCGCGGACCUUCUGACCGCUCAACAGCGGGCUGGACGACGGGAACCGCGGAGACAUCGAAUCGGAUAUAUCUAUGAUCCGACAGAGUCUCCACCCCCGUCUCCACCCUCCAAUCCCGAACACGGCGGGCUAGGGCGAUGGACGCGAACGUUAAGUCCACGAUCGACUCGCCCCGCUGCCGCACGCACGUGCUCUCCGAUCCACUGUUGAUCGUCGCGAGCCCCAGUGACACGGCCCACUCCUCUAGCACCUCUCCUCGGGCAUCGGUCGCAGGAGAACCCCAAGCCGUGGAUUUGGCAUUGAAAUCCCCCGCGACUAUCACCGGUCUCGGUGAAACCUGCCCGACCAAAGCCCCUACCUCAACGAGAACGGAAGAGAGUCGU